rnacentral:rRNA from 1 species
AUGGCUACCAGCACCAGCUCCGCUGCCCUCCUCAUCGCCCUGGUCGCCCUGGCUGGCCUCGCCGACGUCCUUGCCGUUCAUGCUCACGCCGCGGUGGCGGUAAAGACGAUGAUGGAGCGCCCAACAACAAUGGAGCUGGAUGGGAAGAUGCAGUGCAUGAUGGGGUGCUUCACGAUGGUGAUGUUCUGCGCAUUCAAGUGCAUGAUUCCCUGCGUGGUCGCGUGCCCCGCCCUGCCGCUCUGCAUCACCAACUGCGACCUCAAGACCCUUGGCUGCAUGCUCCGCUGCGGCAUGAUGCCCUCGCCCAAGCCCAAGCCCAAGCCCAAACCCAAGCCCAAGCCCAAGCCACCUGCCCCGCCGGGCCUGCACCUAGACGCCCUCGAUCACCAUGCAUGA